UACGUAGGGUCCGAGCGUUGUCCGGAGUUACUGGGCGUAAAGCGCGCGCAGGCGGCCGAUCAAGUCUGGCGUGAAAGCCCCCGGCUCAACCGGGGAGGGUCGUUGGAGACUGGUUGGCUUGAGGGCGGUAGGGGCUGGUGGAAUUCCCGGUGUAGUGGUGAAAUGCGUAGAGAUCGGGAGGAACACCCGUGGCGAAGGCGGCCAGCUGGGCCGAUCCUGACGCUGAGGCGCGAAGGCGUGGGGAGCGAACGGG
rnacentral:rRNA from 1 species